rnacentral:rRNA from 1 species
AUUAGUAGCCACACCACCCUGGCCGUGCACCAUCUCAGAAGCUAAGCAAGACUGAACCUGGCUAGUAUUGGGAUAGGGGACCAUCUGGGAAUAUCAUGUGCCAUGGCUA